GGAUCAAGGAAUCGGUCAUGCCUUGGUAUGUACUGGUUUUAUUGGUUCUCACCUUCUAAAGAACCAUAGUGUCAUUUAUUUGAUGUUAUGGAGGAUUAGGACUGUUACCUUGAAAAUUAGAGUGUUUAAAGCAAGCUUACGCUUGAAUACAUUAGCAUGGAAUAAUGAAAUAGGACAUCAGAUUCUAUUUUGUUGGUUUCUAGGAUCGAUGUAAUGAUUAAUAGGGAU
rnacentral:rRNA from 1 species